rnacentral:rRNA from 1 species
UACGUAGGGUGCAAGCGUUGUCCGGAAUUAUUGGGCGUAAAGAGCUCGUAGGCGGUUUGUUGCGUCGGCUGUGAAAUCCCGAGGCUCAACCUCGGGUCUGCAGUCGAUACGAGCAAACUAGAGUGUUGCAGGGGAGACUGGAAUUCCUGGUGUAGCGGUGAAAUGCGCAGAUAUCAGGAGGAACACCGGUGGCGAAGGCGGGGUCUCUGGGCAACAACUGACGCUGGAGGAGCGAAAGCCGUGGGGAGCGAACAGG